GUUCGAGUAGUGUAGUGGUUAUCACGCGUCGUUCACACCGACGAGGUCCCCGGUUCGAUCCCGGGCUCGAACA
rnacentral:tRNA from 1 species